rnacentral:rRNA from 1 species
CCUACGGGAGGCAGCAGUGAGGAAUAUUGGUCAAUGGACGAGAGUCUGAACCAGCCAAGCCGCGUGAAGGACGAAGGUGCCAAGCAUUGUAAACUUCUUUUGUCAAGGGACAAAAUCAGGCUCGAGAGCCUGACCGAGGGUACUUGAAGAAAAAGCAUCGGCUAACUCCGUGCCAGCAGCGGCGGUAAUACGGAGGAUGCGAGGGUUAUCCGGAUUUAUUGGGUUUAAAGGGUGCGUAGGCGGACUGUUAAGUCAGCGGUAAAAGCCCGGGGCUAAACCCCGGCGAGCCGUUGAAACUGGCUGUCUUGAGAUGUCGAGAGGUAUGCGGAAUGCGCAGUGUAGCGGUGAAAUGCUUAGAUAUUGCGCAGAACUCCGAUUGCGAAGGCAGCAUACCGGCGGCGAUCUGACGCUGAGGCACGAAAGCGUGGGUAUCGAACAGGAUUAGAUACCCUUGUAGUC